GCCAGAGGUCAUCCUAAAGUGUUAUCAGAGCCCAGAUUAGCUUGCCCAGGCCACUGCUGCCAGAAAUUCUGCUACAAGCCUAUGGGCCAAGGAAGGAAGGAGAGAGGGAGAACAUUCAAAGGUCACAGGGAGAAGGACAAGAUGGUUCUUCAGAUGCUGAGGGAGAAUCUUCCUGUCACAAGGAGUUCUGAGACGACUAAAUUCUAGUGUCACAACUAGAAACUAAAAGGAGGCGAUCUCUCUUCCCCAUGGAGACUGCCACGAGUCGGAGUCCUGCAGGAUGGAGGAGGACUUUUCGUUGGAUUAUAAUGGAAAUGGGGCCUUGAGACUGGACAGAGCCAGGAAGCCCAAAGAUUCCCCGGCGAUUCGAGGCGUCUGCAUGACCAACGUGGAGAUAUUUCUUGCACGAUCACACACGGAUAGCCCUCGGUCAAGUUGCUCGCCCUCUCAGGGAGGAGGUAGAAAGAGGAAGGAAAAGAACAUGAAACUCAAAAAUUUUGAAAAUGAAUGUUAAAAUUGUUAUUCCAUGGAAUUGGGGGAAAUAUUGUAUUAAGUUUUAAAAGGGGCUUUUCCUGGUUUCCCCAGAAACUGCCUUUCUACACAAGGUUACCUUGGAAUGCUUGGCAUGUGAUUUAUAUAUGAACAUAGACACACACACAUCUACAUACUGCCUCCUCCAUUGAAAUGUACGCUCCUUUUUUCUUUUUAAACCCUUUCCAUCUGUCUUAGAAUCAAUACUAAAUAUUGGUUCCAAGGCAGAAGAGAGAUAGGAUUAGGCAAUAGGAUCAAAUGAUUUACGCAGGGUCACACAACUAGAUGUGUCUUAGGUCAGAUUUGAACCCAGCACCUCCCAUCUUCAGAUCUGGCUCUCAAUCUACUGAGACACCUCACUGCUCCACAUAAGCUCAUUUGGGUUAAGAAUUGAUUUACUUUUCUCACUAAAUCUCUAGAACUUAGACAUAUAGUAGAUGUUUAAUAAGUGCUUCUCCAUUGAUUGAUGGUCCCUUAAAUUCAUUCCUUCUCCUAACUCCCCCAUUUCUGCCAGGGGAACCAUUCUCUUUUUAGUCACCCAGGUUUGUGGCUUCUGAGAAAGCCUUACCCUCCCUCCCUGCUCCCUACCCACUCCAAAUUCAAUUGCUUGCCAGGUCUUACUGAUUUUUAUCUCCACAACAUUUUUCACAUCUAUCCCUUUCUUUAUUUUUUUAAACUCCUAUUUAAUAUUGUAGUAGAAAUACUAGUCAUAGGAAUAAAAGCAGAAAAAGAAAUUGAGGGAAUUAGAAU
rnacentral:lncRNA from 1 species